rnacentral:rRNA from 1 species
UGACCGCUGGCGGCGUGCCUAAUACAUGCAAGUCGAGCGAACGGACGAGAAGCUUGCUUCUCUGAUGUUAGCGGCGGACGGGUGAGUAACACGUGGAUAACCUACCUAUAAGACUGGGAUAACUUCGGGAAACCGUAGCUAAUACCGGAUAAUAUUUUGAACCGCAUGGUUCAAAAGUGAAAGACGGUCUUGCUGUCACUUAUAGAUGGAUCCGCGCUGCAUUAGCUAGUUGGUAAGGUAACGGCUUACCAAGGCAACGAUGCAUAGCCGACCUGAGAGGGUGAUCGGCCACACUGGAACUGAGACACGGUCCAGACUCCUACGGGAGGCAGCAGUAGGGAAUCUUCCGCAAUGGGCGAAAGCCUGACGGAGCAACGCCGCGUGAGUGAUGAAGGUCUUCGGAUCGUAAAACUCUGUUAUUAGGGAAGAACAUAUGUGUAAGUAACUGUGCACAUCUUGACGGUACCUAAUCAGAAAGCCACGGCUAACUACGU